CUGUUUGUGUAGUUGUGGGCAGGAGCAGUGGACUUUGCAAUAAAUACUCUGUUGACCGGUUAAUGGCAAAAAGACAAAAUUUUUUUCAUCUCCAUAACCUCCACUUUUUUUUUUAUACUAAGGAAAAAUAAUAUCAAAUUGUACUGUUCAGCUGUUGUAGGUUCCCACAUUCCAGAAAAUGGCAGUAAAUUUUGAUUUUCAGCUGUUCUUUGUUUAUAAGAUGCGGAAGAACACAAUUAAAUAUAUUAAAAAUGAGCUUUGCCUUAAUUUCAUUGGAUGAAAGGACAAAGAUGGUGAUUGAUUCGAUACACGUAGUUUAAGUUUCUAUGUUAAUAAGUUGCGAGUAUAUUAAAAAGAUGAAAGUUCUUGGACGGCACGGAUAUCUGUUAAGUGAACAAGAUAUGGGUUAUGCUUAGUUCUGUCCCAACGGCAAAGAAUAUUGUUCUUCAGGGAUCUACUAUUCGUAUAAAGUAUAAAAGCCAAACUAGCACUAAAAAUAAUAACUAAUUCUUUAAUUUCCUAAAUAAAAAGGUUAUUUAUUUAAAUUAAAGCUUUAAUUAUAAUGAAA